rnacentral:rRNA from 1 species
UGGGGAAUCUUCCGCAAUGGACGAAAGUCUGACGGAGCAACGCCGCGUGAGUGAUGACGGCCUUCGGGUUGUAAAGCUCUGUUAAUCGGGACGAAUGGUUCUUGUGCGAAUAGUGCAAGGAUUUGACGGUACCGGAAUAGAAAGCCACGGCUAACUACGUGCCAGCAGCCGCGGUAAUACGUAGGUGGCAAGCGUUGUCCGGAAUUAUUGGGCGUAAAGCGCGCGCAGGCGGAUUGGUCAGUCUGUCUUAAAAGUUCGGGGCUUAACCCCGUGAUGGGAGGGAAACUGACAAUCUAGAGUAUCGGAGAGGAAAGUGGAAUUCCUAGUGUAGCGGUGAAAGGCGUAGAUAUUAGGAAGAACACAAGUGGCGAAGGCGACUUUCUGGACGAAAACUGACGCUGAGGCGCGAAAGCCAGGGGAGCGAACGGG